rnacentral:tRNA from 1 species
GCCCGGCUAGCUCAGUUGGUAGAGCAUUCGACUCUUAUUCCAGAGUUAAAUCACCGUUCACUGGUAUCGAAUUGUCGUGGGUUCGAGCCCCACGUUGGGCG